rnacentral:lncRNA from 1 species
CUUCAUCGCCGCCGAGUUCAUAUCAUCUACCCCUCCGUUUCGAAUGGUAGGUUAUUUCAACCUUUUUUAAAAAAUUAAAAAAAUCUUAAAUUUGAUCAAAUUUAUACAAUAAAGUAUUGACAUUUAUGAUAUCAAAUAAUUACUAUUAGAUUCUUCAUUAAAUAUAUUUUCAUAUUACAUAUAUUCGGUACUAUAAAUCUUCAUAAUUCUCAGUAUAAUUUUGGUCAAAUAUAAAAUAGUUUGACUCUCCAAGAAAGUUGGAAGGACCUGUAAUUUGAAAUGGAGGGAGUAGGUAGGUUGAACACCCCACACACACCCCUAUAAAUCUGCUUCCGGAGGAGUUCGAACCUGGAACCUCCUAUUGAGUCCGGUGCUACUUGAACUUUCUGGUCACCAACCGGUCCAGGCCCGUUCGCACACAAGUUUUUCCUUUAGCUCGCCUACUAAUAAUGUUGCUGACUCGUAAACGAGCCCAAUGCUGUUUUUACAGGUGACCGCUCAAAACAAAUUCUCCAGUUGAUCCACCGCUGCCUCUUCCUUUCUUUUUUUUCGACCUGAGCCCCCGUCCCGUCCUUAUCUCUUCUUUCAUCCGCCCAUCCUUAUCUUAGUUGCUUUUUCUUUCCUUUUCCCUUUUC